UCUCGAUUGGUCUAGUGGUUAGGAUACCUGCUUGUCAUUCAUAAUACAUGCGCAGGUGGCCGGGGUUCGAUUCCCCGAUCGAGAG
rnacentral:tRNA from 1 species